rnacentral:tRNA from 1 species
GGAGAGGUGGCAGAGUGGUCUAUUGCGGCGGUCUUGAAAACCGCUGUGUCGUAAGGCACCGGGGGUUCGAAUCCCUCCUUCUCCGCCA